rnacentral:rRNA from 1 species
AUUGAACGCUGGAGGCAUGCUUUACACAUGCAAGUCGAACGGCAGCAUAGGUGCUUGCACCUGAUGGCGAGUGGCGAACGGGUGAGUAAUAUAUCGGAACAUGUCCGGAAGUGGGGGAUAACGUAGCGAAAGUUACGCUAAUACCGCAUAUGCCCUGAGGGGGAAAGGAGGGGAUCGCAAGACCUUUCGCUUUCGGAGUGGCCGAUAUCGGAUUAGCUAGUAGGUGAGGUAAAGGCUCACCUAGGCGACGAUCCGUAGCUGGUCUGAGAGGACGACCAGCCACACUGGGACUGAGACACGGCCCAGACUCCUACGGGAGGCAGCAGUGGGGAAUUUUGGACAAUGGGCGCAAGUCUGAUCCAGCCAUGCCGCGUGAGUGAAGAAGGCCUUCGGGUUGUAAAGCUCUUUCAGCUGGAAAGAAAUCAUGCUUACUAAUACUAAGUGUGGAUGACGGUACCAGCAGAAGAAGCACCGGCUAACUACGUGCCAGCCGCCGCCGUAACAC